rnacentral:rRNA from 1 species
CACUGGUCGAGUCGGCCUGCGCGGAAGAUGUAACGGGGCUAAACCAUGCACCGAAGCUGCGGCAGCGACGCUUAUGCGUUGUUGGGUAGGGGAGCGUUCUGUAAGCCUGUGAAGGUGGCCUGUGAGGGUUGCUGGAGGUAUCAGAAGUGCGAAUGCUGACAUAAGUAACGAUAAAGCGGGUGAAAAGCCCGCUCGCCGGAAGACCAAGGGUUCCUGUCCAACGUUAAUCGGGGCAGGGUGAGUCGACCCCUAAGGCGAGGCCGAAAGGCGUAGUCGAUGGGAAACGGGUUAAUAUUCCCGUACUUGGUGUUACUGCGAAGGGGGGACGGAGAAGGCUAUGUUGGCCGGGCGACGGUUGUCCCGGUUUAAGCGUGUAGGUGUGUGUUCCAGGUAAAUCCGGUUCACUUUAACACUGAGGCGUGAUGACGAGGCACUACGGUGCUGAAGUAACAAAUGCCCUGCUUCCAGGAAAAGCCUCUAAGCAUCAGGUAACAUCAAAUCGUACCCCAAACCGACACAGGUGGUCAGGUAGAGAAUACCAAGGCGCUUGAGAGAACUCGGGUGAAGGAACUAGGCAAAAUGGUGCCGUAACUUCGGGAGAAGGCACGCUGACAC